rnacentral:rRNA from 11 species
CAGAAGUGCGAAUGCUGACAUGAGUAGCGAUAAAGGGGGUGAAAAGCCCCCUCGCCGAAAGCCCAAGGUUUCCUGCGCAACGUUCAUCGGCGCAGGGUGAGUCGGCCCCUAAGGUGAGGCAGAGAUGCGUAGCUGAUGGGAAAUAGGUUAAUAUUCCUAUACCUCUAUACAAUGCGAUGUGGGGACGGAGAAGGUUAGAUCAGCCGGGUGUUGGAUGUCCCGGUUCAAGCGUGUAGGCUGGUUCUUUAGGUAAAUCCGGAGAGCUAAGGCUGAGACGUGAUAAGGAGUCUACUUGUAGACGAACUGAUUGAUACCAUGCUUCCAGGAAAAUCCACUAAGCUUCAGUUGUAUAAGACCGUACCGCAAACCGACACAGGUGGGCAAGAUGAGUAUUCUAAGGCGCUUGAGAGAACUCGGGAGAAGGAACUCGGCAAAUUGGUACCGUAACUUCGGGAAAAGGUACGCCCCGGUAGCUUGAUCACUUUACUGUGUGAGGGCGAAAGGGUUGCAAUAAACUGGUGGCUGCGACUGUUUAAUAAAAACACAGCACUCUGCAAACACGAAAGUGGACGUAUAGGGUGUGACGCCUGCCCGGUGCUUGAAGGUUAAUUGAUGGGGUUAUCUUCGGAGAAGCUCUUGAUCGAAGCCCAAGUAAACGGCGGCCGUAACAAUAACGGUCCUAAGGUAGCG